rnacentral:rRNA from 1 species
AUUGAACGCUGGCGGCAUGCCUUACACAUGCAAGUCGAACGGUAACAGGUCUUCGGAUGCUGACGAGUGGCGAACGGGUGAGUAAUACAUCGGGACGUGCCCGAUCGUGGGGGAUAACGAGGCGAAAGCUUUGCUAAUACCGCAUACGAUCUACGGAUGAAAGCGGGGGAUCUUCGGACCUCGCGCGGACGGAGCGGCCGAUGGCAGAUUAGGUAGUUGGUGGGGUAAAGGCUCACCAAGCCAACGAUCUGUAGCUGGUCUGAGAGGAUGAUCAGCCACACUGGGACUGGGACACGGCCCAGACUCCUACGGGAGGCAGCAGUGGGGAAUUUUGGACAAUGGGGGUAACCCUGAUCCAGCCAUGCCGCGUGCAGGAUGAAGGCCUUCGGGUUGUAAACUGCUUUUGUACGGAACGAAAAGCUCUCCUCUAAUAAAGGGGGGUCAUGACGGUACCGUAAGAAUAAGCACCGGCUAACUACGUGCCAGCAGCCGCGGUAACAC